ensembl:snoRNA
UCGUGAUGAAAUCUCGAGUGAAACGGCUGGAAUUACCGGCAGAUGCUCAGUGGUGACACUUGCUCUUCUGAAC